AAAAAGUUGAAGUAGGUCAAAGACGCUAACAGCAUUUUAAAUCAUUAAACAUUUCAGCAUCAACGGUAAAGGAAGCUGUAAUUAAGGAUCUUGGUGCAGUUUGGUAACAGACAGUGAUAUUUCAAGUUACAUGUGACCAGCAUAACAAAGUGUUUCACUAGAUUGAGCUCUCUGUCUAAGUGUACUUUAAAGGUUCUUUGCACUGAGUUCAGUUUAUUGAUAUGAGUAUACCUUCUGUGUGAAAUUAUAAGAUGUAAAAACAGACUACUCAUAUCUACAUGUCCAUGAAAUGAAAUCUAAGGCUGUUCAGAAAAAAGUUGGAUACAUAGUACGUUGUUGGACAAAAUAAAGAUAAACUAGACUAAGCCAAUGGAUUUGCUUGCUGAACAAACUUUUGAGGACUAUCGUAUUCAAAAUUUGAAUGAGUGGUAUAUUGUUUUACCAGGAUAUUCAGCCACCAGCUGAGUGAUUAUGGAACAAUCAGUUUGAUUAUUUAGUUUAUUGCCAGGAACACAUGGAACUUUAAAUUUUUGUUAUUAACUUUCAGCAUUUAUAUCUCAAAUACAUUUGUAAUAGUAAAUUUGUUCCUUAUAUGGUAAUAAAAUGAUUAGUCACAGUAAAAAAUGUUUGACGGGAUCUGGCAAUUUAACAAGAUUUUCUUAUAAUUUGUGAUUAUUCCAAAAAAGAAACUUAACUCCACUUUUUUCUUUUAUUUUUAACAUUUUGUUCUUACAUGAGCAUGAUGAAUAUAUAUAUUUCUUUUACUUUGUGAUUUUUUUAUUAAACUACAUGUUCCA